GACGAACGCUGGCGGCGUGCUUAACACAUGCAAGUCGAACGGAAAGGCCCUGCUUUUGUGGGGUGCUCGAGUGGCGAACGUGUGUGUAACACGUGUGUCACCUGCCCUUGACUUUGGUAUACCUUCAGGAAACUGGGGCUAAUACCGGAUAGCAUCUCCUGCUGCAUGGUGGGGUUUGGAAAGUUUCGGCGGUUGGGGAUGGACUCGCGGCUUAUCAGCUUGUUGGUGGGGUAGUGGCUUACCAAGGCUUUGACGGGUAGCCGGCCUGAGAGGGUGACCGGCCACAUUGGGACUGAGAUACGGCCCAGACUCCUACGGGAGGCAGCAGUGGGGAAUAUUGCACAAUGGGCGGAAGCCUGAUGCAGCAACGCCGCGUGCGGGAUGACGGCCUUCGGGUUGUAAACCGCUUUCGCCUGGGAAGAAGCGUGAGUGACGGUAAUGGGUAAAGAAGCACCGGCUAACUACGUG
rnacentral:rRNA from 1 species